rnacentral:rRNA from 1 species
AUACGGAGGGUCCAAGCGUUAUCCGGAAUCAUUGGUUUAAAGGGUCCGCCGGCGGUCAAUUAAGUCAGAGGUGAAAGCCCAUCGCUCAACGAUGGAACUGCCUUUGAUACUGGUUGACUUGAGUUAUACGGAAGUAGAUAGAAUAAGUAGUGUAGCGGUGAAAUGCAUAGAUAUUACUUAGAAUACCGAUUGCGAAGGCAGACUACUACGUAUAUACUGACGCUGAGGGACGAAAGCGUGGGGAGCGAACAGGAUUAGAAACCCUAGUAGUCC